rnacentral:rRNA from 1 species
UACGUAGGGCGCAAGCGUUAUCCGGAAUUAUUGGGCGUAAAGAGCUCGUAGGCGGCUUGUCACGUCGGGUGUGAAAGCCCGGGGCUUAACCCCGGGUCUGCAUUCGAUACGGGCUAGCUAGAGUGUGGUAGGGGAGAUCGGAAUUCCUGGUGUAGCGGUGAAAUGCGCAGAUAUCAGGAGGAACACCGGUGGCGAAGGCGGAUCUCUGGGCCAUUACUGACGCUGAGGAGCGAAAGCGUGGGGAGCGAACAGG